AUUGAACGCUGGCGGCAUGCCUUACACAUGCAAGUCGAACGGCAGCACGGGAGCAAUCCUGGUGGCGAGUGGCGAACGGGUGAGUAAAGUAUCGGAACGUGCCCAGUCGUGGGGGAUAACGUAGCGAAAGUUACGCUAAUACCGCAUACGAUCUAUGGAUGAAAGCGGGGGAUCGCAAGACCUCGCGCGAUUGGAGCGGCCGAUAUCAGAUUAGGUAGUUGGUGGGGUAAAGGCUCACCAAGCCGACGAUCUGUAGCUGGUCUGAGAGGAAGACCAGCCACACGGGUACUGAGACACGGCCCAGACCCCUACGGGAGGCAGCAGGGGGAAAUUGUGGACAAUGGGCGAAGGCCUGAUCCAGCCAUGCCGCGUGCAGGAUGAAGGCCUUCGGGUUGUAAACUGCUCUUGUACGGAACGAAAAGGUUUGGGCUAAUAAGCUGAGCUCAUGACGGUACCGUAAGAAUAAGCACCGGCUAACUACGUGCCAGCCGCCGCCGUAA
rnacentral:rRNA from 1 species